rnacentral:rRNA from 1 species
UGCAGUCGACGGUAACAGGAAGCAGCUUGCUGCUUUGCUGACGAGUGGCGGACGGGUGAGUAAUGUCUGGGAAACUGCCUGAUGGAGGGGGAUAACUACUGGAAACGGUAGCUAAUACCGCAUAACGUCGCAAGACCAAAGAGGGGGACCUUCGGGCCUCUUGCCAUCGGAUGUGCCCAGAUGGGAUUAGCUAGUAGGUGGGGUAAAGGCUCACCUAGGCGACGAUCCCUAGCUGGUCUGAGAGGAUGACCAGCCACACUGGAACUGAGACACGGUCCAGACUCCUACGGGAGGCAGCAGUGGGGAAUAUUGCACAAUGGGCGCAAGCCUGAUGCAGCCAUGCCGCGUGUAUGAAGAAGGCCUUCGGGUUGUAAAGUACUUUCAGCGGGGAGGAAGGGAGUAAAGUUAAUACCUUUGCUCAUUGACGUUACCCGCAGAAGAAGCACCGGCUAACUCCGUGCCAGC